AGCUUUGCGCAGAGGCGAUAUCGUAACCAAUGAGGUUCUACCGAGGUGCGAUUAUUGCUAGUUGAAAACUUUAACCAAUACCCCGCCAUGGGGACGUGCAAUACCGUCCACUAAGGCAAUUUUUGAAGGCCCGAGAGGGC
rfam:Glossina pallidipes unplaced genomic scaffold Scaffold162, whole genome shotgun sequence.